rnacentral:lncRNA from 1 species
UGGGCCAUGCACAGUGAUAGAUGCUAUAAAGACGAAAAUCAAAAUUCCCUGCCCUCAAGCACUUUUUACUCUACUGGAGGUGAUAAUAACACAAUACCCAGAAUGAGAAGAUGGCCGUUGCCCGACCUCAUGAUUCAUGAUCUGUGUUUACCGGGCAUGAUAGAGAUGAAACAGAGGCUGUGCACUGUCUCCCUAGGCUGCUGGUCUUGCAAGUCACUGACUGGUCAUCUCUCAACCACCUUUAAGCAGAGGAGCCAUGUCACUGCUGGGAGCCCUACAGAGCCUCAUCUUAUGUGAUAUUGUACUAGAGACAGAGGCUGCAUGUGAAAUUACCAUAGAUGGCUUAGCUACCUCAGUUCAAAAACCCAUGAUUCAAACAGCCCUAAAGUUCACCUUUUUCUGUGAAGACUUCCCUCAUUUCUGGAAGGAAAGGUGGUGCUUUCCCUCAAUUCUUGGUCAAGCAAUCUGUUUGCUUUCUCAUACCCCACUUUGCAGAGCUUUUAAUUUUUUAAUUAAUUAAUUAAAUGAUUUGGAAUUUACUUUGUUUAUGUAUCAUAUAUAAUUUAUUUAUAAUUUGUUAACUUUAAUUUUGAUUAUUAUAGUUAAUUUUUGAAUGAAUACUUAUAAUGAUUAUUUUUUAUUUUUUGAAUGAAUAAUUAUAAUGAUUAAUUUCAAAUAAAAA